GAGUUUGAUCCUGGUUCAGGACGAACGCUGGCGGCCGUGCCUAACACAUGCAAGUCGUACGACGGAGGUCGGAUGACAGAGACCAGAGGUCAGAAAGGGAAAACCCCAAUCUGGCAUCCGGCUUCUGACAUCUGACUUCUGGAGUGGCGGACGGGUGAGUAACGCGUGGGUAACCUACCCAACAGACCGGGACAACACUUGGAAACGAGUGCUAAUACCGGAUAACCUAUGACUCUGGCAUCAGAGACAUAGGAAAGGUGGCCUCUAUAUAAAAGCUACCGUUGUAGGAUGGACCCGCGUCCGAUUAGCUAGUUGGUGGGGUAACGGCCUACCAAGGCGACGAUCAGUAGCCGGCCUGAGAGGGUGAACGGCCACACUGGGACUGAGACACGGCCCAGACUCCUACGGGAGGCAGCAGUGGGGAAUCUUCCGCAAUGGACGAAAGUCUGACGGAGCAACGCCGCGUGUAUGAUGAAGGCCUUCGGGUUGUAAAGUACUGUCAUUGGGGAAGAAUGGUCGCUAUGAAAAUAUUGUAGCGACAUGACGGUACCCAAGAAGGAAGCCCCGGCUAACUACGUGCCAGCAGCCGCGGUAACACGUAGGGGGCAAGCGUUGUCCGGAAUCAUUGGGCGUAAAGGGCGCGUAGGCGGAUAGUUAAGUCCGAUGUGAAAUACCAAGGCUCAACCUUGGGGCUGCAUCGGAAACUGGUUAUCUUGAGGACAGGAGAGGAAAGUGGAAUUCCACGUGUAGCGGUGAAAUGCGUAGAUAUGUGGAGGAACACCAGUGGCGAAAGCGACU
rnacentral:rRNA from 1 species